AGAACCAAUUGGUUUCACAGGCAAGCAUGUUGUCCAUGCAGCUCAUGCUAUUUUGGAGGGAAAAUACAGUACACACAGAGACCAGACUUUGGAGGAAUGAGGCCGGCCUUCUGUCAUCUUGGGAAAUGAGGACAGCAGAGUCUGGGGACCAAAUGAAGAGAGAUGACCCUCAAGAGCUCCUUAGGGUAUUUCGGAGAGAGAAUAGAAUACACACAGACACCAGACCAAGGCAGAAGGAGGCCGGCCGCCCAUCAUGGUGGGAAAGGGCAAGAAACAACUGGUCAUGGAGAAGGCACAGGUCUGCUGGGGAGGCAUCACCCCAAGCCCCCACCAUCAAUGAGCAGAAGAAGAGAUACGAGAGGUUGGAGAAGCUCAAAAGAGAGCUCCAGAACAUAAAAAAUGCCAGAGAUGAACUUCAGGGAAUCCUGACCAACUACACUAACAAGGAUUUAAAUAACAGGAUCAACUUUGAGACAUUCAUGCUUGAGAUGCAACAUGACCAGGUGAUGACUGACCUGAAGAGAAUGCCCCAGGACAUCAGUGAGGCCUUGUCCAAGUGCAAGCAGUUGACUAAAGAAAAUCAGUUCUACUGGUAUCCUCAAGAUCAAAAAGGUUUCCACCAUGAUGGAGAUAUCAAUCAGCCUUGGGCAUCUUGGGCUCUGAACAUAGAAAGAUUCUGUGAUGCUUGGGUCUCUUCACUCCUAGAGAAUUUUGCCCCAGGAACUGCCACCUCCUGAUUGAAUCUAACCUCAUCCAGCACAAAGUCAGGAUGUUGAGGAAGGAGAACAGACAGCUGCUAAGGGAGCAGAUUGCAUUGGAAGAAUGCAACAUAGAAACAAAAACACUAUGUAAGGAAGGCAUCCAGAAGAUCAAAGACCACUAUACUAAGCAGCAGCAGGUCUGAAAUAUUCUGCAGAAGCUCAAACAGAUGAGAGACCAGGUCAAGAUCUUGCUCAGACACAACUGUUCACCAGGAGCACUGGGUGUGCAAAGCAAAUUAACCACCAUUGCAUCUAAUCCUUGUAACCAUGGCAAUCUUGGGCUGCAUUUUCUUCUUUUUUGCUUUGCUAUGGGUAAUGAGGCCUUUAUUUUGUCUAGCCUCUGGUCCAGCAAGACUACCUGUUUGGAAGGCUUCAGAGAAGUGCUGAGAUACAUAAAGAUCUGCUCGGCAUCCAGGAGAGCUAUGAGAAUGCCAAUUUUGGCUGGUCCUGUUGGGUCAUCUAGAAUUAUAUCAUGGUGAUCAGUCAAGUGAAUUUGAAAAACUUUGAGGUAUCAUCUGUAACAUCUCUCAUGCUCAGACAUGGAAGGCCUAGUCCAUCAGCAGAACACCCACCCCAAUGCCUAUAUUCAUCCUGAACAGAUUAUUACCAUCAGUGACUUCCUUUGCACUAUUUCACCAAGGCCAGCAACAGGCUGUAGGUCUGUGCUGAACAUCUGCAGCAAGAGAAUGAUGCUUAGCUUAAUUAUUUUGUUUGGUUUUAAUAAUGCUUAGCUUAAUUAUUUUGUUUGGUCUUGGUUAGAGUUUUGAUUUCUUUGUGUCUUUGGUUUUCCUGUGUUUUCAUUUGAAGUUUCAUUAUAUAUUCAAUAUCUUUUUGUUACUGUAA